GGUUUCUGUUUAGCCAUAAAAAGGUGAAUGUGUAUAAAACACCAACAGUCAAGUGUAUGUUGACACAUGGAACCUCUGGAAACCAGUAUAAUUUGAUAACAUACAAAAAAAAAACAUUCGAAUCUCUAAAGAAUGAGCUAUACGAUUGCAGCACACUUCAAAGGAAGAGAACCAACAGAACAGUUUGUCAAAUCUAUUGUUUUGUCAGAAGAUAAUGGAGUAAAAUCAGUAUUGACUACUUCACUUGAGAAGUUAAAAAAAAGAAGUCAAUACUUUUUUGACAGAAUGCAUUGAAAAAAAUAGAAAAGAAUCAUCUGAUGCUCAAAAUAUUCCGACAAUUGAUGAAGAAGAAUUAGAUAGUGAAGAGGAAACCAUCAGUGAAGAUCAUACAUCUCUAAGACCAAAUAAGGUUCCUAAGUUGGUUUAGUGCCUGGCAAUCUCUUUCUUAUGUUCUCAAUGGCUAAAUGGUGUGUAAUGAAAGAAAAAUUGAAAUAUAGACACAUGAUUCUCUG